rnacentral:lncRNA from 1 species
GUUUGGGCUAUAAGCUAACAGGAGCAAACCUUGUAUGAUGGUUUGCCGUGCUUCUUGAAAGGAAACGUAAUGGCGCAAUGGUUUGCUGACAAAUAGAACCAGAGAAAAUGGCCGGUUUGGGUUUCAGCCUAAAAUAUGACCGCCAAAAACUUUCGUAACAUUCGCUCAUUUUUCGUCAUCCAUAAAGGCAAGUCAAUUUCGCGAAAGAGAGGUGCUGUCCUUGUAGUUCAGGCCAGAUACAUUGGCAUGAGAUGGACAUUAUAUCAUUGUCAUGUCUUCUUUCACUUUUGAAUAUUUUGAAAGAAAUAAUGUGAGGAUGAAAAUGGAUGGAGGGAGGACAAACUUGUCUGGUAGACUUGUCGUAGGUAAGAGCAAACAGAACAACGUAGUUGACUGUAUGCAUAGCGACUCUGUACACAAUCCUUUGCUUCUCUCUACAUCUCCUUUUGGAGGCUGUCAGACGAAUUUAUAACCGAAGUGGAGAGAGAAAAAAGAAUCGGUAAAGAAAAGAGAAAAAGGAAGGUUGAAAAUCGCCAUUACACUGCUGUUCUGUCACCAGUUCCACAUGCUCCAUUUGCUAUCAGUGACCAUAUCAUAAACCGGCCUGCGACGGCGACCAUAGGCAGACCAAUAUGACUGACCGUGUCGUUAAAGUGUCGCAUUACUUUUAUUCGUGCUUCUUUGAGGCCACCAUACAUCUGCCAGUCAAGUCCAGACCAUGAUUUUGACAUGAGGCUACAUCUUUGAAUCUAGAUGAUGAUUCUACAGUGAGUGACCAAGCGAUUGGAAUUGGCGUCGCGACAUUCUUCUGGAGGCACGCGGAAUUCGAGCGAGUGGCGGCCUUCGACGGAGCGGUUAGCUUCGGGCUCAAUCUUGUCAAGCAAACGGUAGAUAGACUACUAGUAUACACUUCAUGGUUGGAAUCUUUGUCAUAUUCUCCUCCAAACGAUAGUUAACAAUAUCGAAUUCCGUGGAUUCUAAAAGUAAUUUGCUUAUUUAAUUUUCAGUAUACUUAUUCACGAAGUGUCCUAAAAAUUAAUUCGUUCUUUAAUGAUAAAUACUCCAAAGUUCUUGAAACAAAAAGAU